UGGAGACUUUGAAGUGGGAAGCAGUAAGUGCCCCCUGUGCUGGGCUGUGUGCAAGGGGGGGAGGCAGCCCCUGAGGAUCAGCGCUGUGCCUUGGCUUGUGAGGAUGAGAGAAAAGACGGAAUUAAUGAGAUGGGCUCGGAUCUCCAAAGGCAAUGAAGUAAUCAGCAGCUCAGAGUCAAAAUAUCUGGAGACAUGUCAGAUGCCUUCCUUACCUCUGGUGACUGUAAAUGAAGUGCAACACAUGAAUGUAUUCCCCCCAAGAAAUGCAAUAAACUAUUUUGCUGUCAAGUGCAUUAAGAUUUCAACAUACAGUGAAAUCAUUCUUCUGCUGCUUUCCAGUCAACAGUUUCUUUGGCCCCACGCAGCUCUAUUGAAAGAGCAUAGGCACUUGAGACCUUAUCAGUUUGCAACCUGGCAGAACAUAUUUGAGCUUAUCUGCAUUUUCCAGUGGCUCCAUUGUGUUGGAUGUUUCCAGGAUGUCUACUUUGGCAUCCAGCUUCAGUUGGAUGGUUCUCGCUAGUGUUGGCACUUCCCACUUUAUGGUACAAAGUGGACUUCACAGGGCUUUCAAUUUCUUACGGCCACAAACAUCUUUAUUUUGAAAAUGGACUAAUCUUAAUAAUUUAAUGGUAACCUCCAGUCUA
rnacentral:lncRNA from 1 species